GUUGGGCUAGCUAGGUAAUUAGCACUCUCCCACUGUUGGUGGCACACAAGAGAAAGUACGUACGUAGUACUAUAUAUACUGCUAGCUAUAGUAAGUAGAUGCUAUGUAAUUCUAUACCGGCCUCCAGUGCAAUGGUCAAAUAUAGUGUUCGAACAAAGACCAAAAAUUGGUCUACUACAGGAAGUUUAAUUUAUAUAGAGAGAGAAAUAGAUCGAGCAGCCUGUACACAUUUUUUUUUCAGCUUUAGUUUGCAAAAAGUACUCUCACUCUUAUUAUCAGGACAAAAGGCUAUAGCUGCAGUGUAUAUAUAUUUCCUGCCACUAGCUGCCCGCCAGCUGGUGACGACGAUCGCGGCAAUCCAAUGACAUCUGUGACGCUGGAGAAUAUAAGGUGAAGCAAAGAUUCGAACAAUAUACUGCAGAAAAAGUUGCUGUCCAGGUGACGAAAACUGAACAGGAGUAUUAAUUGGAGAGAAAGAAAGGCACAACGUCUGUCCUCUUACGCGUCAGGAAUCAGCACAUAACUGGCUUACUUGUCAUGCUUACACGCUAAGUGCUCCUUCUCCUAAUUAUUGUUCUUGCUAGCAGCUGCUGCUGAUGCCAUUAAUCAUUGGUCGACAUAUAUACCUGUGUUAAGUACGUACCUUACACGUUGCAUGUGUGCCUGCUAUACCAAUUUGUUGAUCUCAGUCUGUCUUUCUUUUGAAAAGAUGCUUUCUGUUGGAUCCCUACUGCGUACCCGGCCCCAUCACUUCCUCUUUAAUUCUCACUCGAUCUUUGCGUGUUUCAUAAUUAGCUUAACUGACAUGUUGUAGAGUUGUUUGGAUCAAACUAGAUCACCCGAAAUUUGCUGAUGCGAGAUAGAAAGUUUAUAUGAUUGAACUGUAGCUAGCCUUAGCUAGUGGAUCCACGUAAUUGGGUGCCCGUUUUUUUUUUUUUAAGAUAUCUCUUUCUAUAUAAUGGGUGUACUGUUUGGAGAUCUGUUAUUGGUAGUAUACCAAAAGGUAAACAUGGCGCUUUAAACAUGGAUGAUGUACUACCUCUAUGAUCUUUGGAAACAGUUGACAUUCUAGAAUGCGCAUUCUAUAGAUCUGAAGGUUGAUACAUACUCCCUCUGUUCUAAAAUGAGGAAACUUUUUGUUGACUGUCAAAUUUUGACCAAACUUUUAAAACAAAGUAUCAACAUAUGUGAUGUCAGACCAAGAUAGUACGAAAAUAUAUUUCACAAUGAAUGAAUCUAAUUAUCCUAUGUGGCAUCUUAGAUGUUGAUAUUUUUUGUUAUAUGAUUGGUCAAACUUUAACAAAUUCGGCACUCAACGAUAGUUAUGAUUUCUAUAUUUUGGAACGGGGUGUGUUUGGAACUUGAAAGGCAUGCAAUAGUGCGCGCUGGCCACACGCCCAUGCAUUCUGUUGGAUGGUGUGCUUGCUGCGUGGAAUGUGUGUUUAAUUUGACUUUUUGCCUUUCGGUGUGCGCCUUGCAUUUGCUACACCUGGCGCACCAAACUUUUUUCUCGUGUAGUCUUGCUGUUGCUGCACGUGGAAAGCUUACAUAUAUAUGUGCACUCACUAGCUAGCGAAGCUCUACCUGACGUACUAUACGUGCAGGGUUUGAGUACUGUCUGUUGAGGACCAAUAAGAGCGUCCACGACAACCUGAUUAGAGUAGCA
rnacentral:lncRNA from 1 species